GAUGAACGCUGGCGGCGUGCUUAACACAUGCAAGUCGAACGGACAGGUCCUGCUUUUGUGGGGUGCUCGAGUUGCGAACGGGUGAGUAACACGUGAGUAACCUGCCCCUGCCUGUGGGAUAGCUUCAGGACAGUGGGGCUAAUACGGGAUAGGAGCUUCUGCUGCAUGUUGGGUGUUGGAAAGUUUCGUCGGUUGGGGAUGGACUCGCGGCUUAUCAGCGUGUCGGUGGGUGGGUGGCUUACCAGGGCUGUGACGGGUAGCCGGCCUGAGAGGGUGACCGGCCACAUUGGGACUGAGAGACGGCCCAGAGUCCUACGGGAGGCAGCAGUGGGGAAAAUUGCACAAUGGGCGGAAGCCUGAUGCAGAAACGCCGCGUGCGGGAUGACGGCCUUCGGGGUGUAAACCGCUUUCGCCUGUGACGAAGCGUGAGUGACGGUAAUGGGUAAAGAAGCACCGGCUAACUACGUG
rnacentral:rRNA from 1 species